UUCCAAAGAGAUUCCUUCUCCAGGGGACACGUCGUAUACUCCAGGCAUGCAGCCCCUUGGAAAAAUAUCUGGUAUUCUUGAGCAUGUUGUAGGUGAACGAUUAUGCUAUUUUUACUCUCCUUAUAAUUAUCAGUAUAC
ensembl:snoRNA